rnacentral:rRNA from 1 species
GACGAACGCUGGCGGCGUGCUUAACACAUGCAAGUCGAACGAAGUGGCGAACGGGUGAGUAACGCGUAAUCAACCUGCCCUUCCGCGGGGGACAACAGUUGGAAACGACUGCUAAUACCGCAUACUGAAGGCGGGGAUUGCGUCUGAUUAGCUCGUUGGAGGGGUAACGGCCCACCAAGGCGAUGAUCAGUAGCCGGUCUGAGAGGAUGAUCAGUCACACUGGAACUGAGACACGGUCCAGACUCCUACGGGAGGCAGCAGUGGGGAAUAUUGGACAAUGGGCGAAAGCCUGAUACAGCCAUGCCGCGUGUGUGAAGAAGGUCUUCGGAUUGUAAAGCACUUUAAGUUGGGAGGCGUUACCAACAGAAGAAGCACCGGCUAACUUCGUGCCAGCAGCCGCGGUAAUUC